CGGCGACCGGCGCACGGGUGAGUAACGCGUAUCCAACCUUCCGUACACUCAGGGAUAGCCUUUCGAAAGAAAGAUUAAUACCUGAUGGUAUGAUGAGAUUGCAUGAUAGCAUCAUUAAAGAUUUAUCGGUGUACGAUGGGGAUGCGUUCCAUUAGGUAGUAGGCGGGGUAACGGCCCACCUAGCCAACGAUGGAUAGGGGUUCUGAGAGGAAGGUCCCCCACAUUGGAACUGAGACACGGUCCAAACUCC
rnacentral:rRNA from 1 species